UUCAAAUAUGUUGAGAAAUAAAACUUUCCCAGAUAAACAAAAGCUGAGGGAGUUCAACACCACUAGACCUUCCUUACUGGAAAUUCUUGAAGGAGUUCU